AUACAUGCAAGUCGAGCGAGGCAGCAGUGCCGAGCGGCGAACGGGUGAGUAACGCGUAAGCAAUCUGCCCCAUAUCAGGAAAUACCCGUGCCAACGCGCGGUUAAUGUCCAGGAGAGUGGCCCUCUGCAUGGAGGGUUGACUAGAGAUUUAUCGGUAUGGGAUGAGCUUGCGUCCGAUUAGCUAGUUGGCGGGGCAACGGCCCACCAAGGCGACGAUCGGUAGCCGGCCUGAGAGGGUGAUCGGCCACAUUGGGACUGAGAUACGGCCCAGACUCCUACGGGAGGCAGCAGUAGGGAAUAUUGCACAAUGGGGGAAACCCUGAUGCAGCAACGCCACGUGGUGGGAAGAAGCAUUUCGGUGUGUAAACCACUGUCAUGAGGGAAUAAGGCCCUUAUUCGUAAGGGAUUGAAUGUACCUUGAGAGGAAGCACCGGCAAACUUCGUGCCAGCAGCUGC
rnacentral:rRNA from 1 species